UACAGAGGUCUCAAGCGUUGUUCGGAUUCAUUGGGCGUAAAGGGUGCGUAGGUGGCACGGUAAGUCGGGUGUGAAAUCUCGGAGCUUAACUCCGAAAUUGCAUUCGAUACUGCCGUGCUCGAGGACUGGAGAGGAGACUGGAAUUCAUGGUGUAGCAGUGAAAUUCGUAGAUAUCAGGAGGAACACCAGUGGCGAAAGCGGCUUCCUGGCCCGAUAUUGACGCUCAUGUACGAAAGCGUGGGGAGCAAACAGG
rnacentral:rRNA from 1 species